rnacentral:rRNA from 1 species
AUUGAACGCUGGCGGCAUGCUUUACGCAUGCAAGUCGAACGGCAGCGGGGUAGUGCUUGCACUACUGCCGGCGAGUGGCGAACGGGUGAGUAAUAUAUCGGAACGUACCGAGUAAUGGGGGAUAACCAAUCGAAAGAUUGGCUAAUACCGCAUACGUCCUGAGGGAGAAAGCGGGGGAUCGCAAGACCUCGCGUUAUUCGAGCGGCCGAUAACUGAUUAGCUAGUUGGUGGGGUAAAGGCCUACCAAGGCGACGAUCAGUAGCGGGUCUGAGAGGACGAUCCGCCACACUGGGACUGAGACACGGCCCAGACUCCUACGGGAGGCAGCAGUGGGGAAUUUUGGACAAUGGGGGCAACCCUGAUCCAGCCAUGCCGCGUGUAUGAAGAAGGCCUUCGGGUUGUAAAGUACUUUUGUUAGGGAAGAAAAGGGAAGUGCUAAUACCACUUUUUGCUGACGGUACCUAAAGAAUAAGCACCGGCUAACUACGUG